CCUACGGGCGGCAGCAGUGGGGAAUAUUGGGCAAUGGGCGCAAGCCUGACCCAGCAACGCCGCGUGAAGGAAGAAGGCUUUCGGGUUGUAAACUUCUUUUCUCAGGGACGAAGCAAGUGACGGUACCUGAGGAAUAAGCCACGGCUAACUACGUGCCAGCAGCCGCGGUAAUACGAAGGUGGCAAGCGUUAUCCGGAUUUACUGGGUGUAAGGGGCGUGUAGGCGGGGACGCAAGUCAGAUGUGAAAACCACGGGCUCAACCUGUGGCCUGCAUUUGAAACUGUGUUUCUUGAGUACUGGUGAGGCAGACGGAAUUCCUAGUGGAGCGGUGAAAUGCGUAGAUAUUAGGAAGAACACCAGUGGCGAAGGCGGUCUGCUGGACAGCAACUGACGCUGAGGCGCGAAAGCGUGGGGAGCAAACAGGAUUAGAUACCCCUGUAGUC
rnacentral:rRNA from 1 species